UACGUAGGGACCAAGCGUUGUUCGGAUUUACUGGGCGUAAAGGGCGCGUAGGCGGCGUGGUAAGUCACUUGUGAAAUCUCUGAGCUUAACUCAGAACGGCCAAGUGAUACUGCUGUGCUAGAGUGCAGAAGGGGCAAUCGGAAUUCUUGGUGUAGCGGUGAAAUGCGUAGAUCUCAAGAGGAACACCUGAGGUGAAGACGGGUUGCUGGGCUGACACUGACGCUGAGGCGCGAAAGCCAGGGGAGCAAACGGG
rnacentral:rRNA from 1 species